AUAAUAAGAUAAACAAUGAAAUCUUUGUUACAGUUGCCUAAAACCAAUUUGUCCAUAGGUCGUAUAAGCCGAUGCAACUCUUAAAUAACUCCUCUACUAAAUCCUCAAUGAAACCAUGAUUGAUGCCUACCGACUUAAAUAAAUCUAACUUACAAGCACAACCUUAUUGGUUGAACUUAACCGAUACAACAUAAGGUUGAUAAUUGCCUAUCGGCUUGAUAACCAAUCGGCUUGGUUAACUAUUUAUCUUUUCAGUUGUAGAUCAAACUGAACGGUACACUCGUGUAUUCUAAGAAUUUAGGUACUGCACUAGAGCGAUCUAAGAAAGACUCCCAGGCCUUCCUAUGUGACACGUUAUCGGAUCAACUUUUGACGUCAAUAGUAAGUUGGAGAUGUGGCUAACACCUUUCCUGGGUAGCCUUGUCUAUCGGGUCAUCUUGUCCACCGCCUCAUGUCGAUGGACAUGACCCUCACUUGUCAAAGGCCACCCACAUGUUGCAUUAGCCUUUCUCUAGGAGAUGAUGCGACCAUGGAGGGUUAGGUAGAGGUCUCCACGCCUCCACGCAUGCAGAUUUGUUGGCAACCUCCAUGCCGACUCCUCCCAGCUAGCUCGGGCCUAUGCAUACAUGCCUCACUUCAUACAACACUUAAUGCUUCCAUGCCGACCAAUGGAUGAUCUCAACGCUCUUUUUUCUUGGUGCGGUUUGAGCUUCUAGAGAGGGGAAGUGGGAUCCCGCUCAGGACUACUUCAGACCUUGAUCAUCUCCCUGGUUGCUUUCCUAGGCAUCAUCAACCCCGGUGUCCCGAAGGCACAAGUCCAAAGGUCAUGACGUACUUGACCUUGGAAACACUAACCCCUUCAUUAUAAGGAGUUCAUGAUGGAUAUGUUAGGGAAUUCAUGAUAAACAUGGCCUUGGAAGGGGUGCUGAUACUAGACGCACCUUUUUGAACACAUGAGCGGUGCCUAUCUCAUCCGUUGCUCGUUCUCUUGGCAAGGGGGCUUUAAGUGACCUCCAGGAGAUGAUGAGCCCCCGAGGUUUGGGGGCUCGUGG
rnacentral:lncRNA from 1 species